AGGCUCUAAGUGCUCAAAACUGUAUAAAUGGGGACGGGACAGCAGCAGUUUUGGACCUCUCAGACACAACUCCCAGAGAUUGAGCUAAAGACAGAGGGAAGAGGGAGCACCACAGUCAGAGGCAGAUUUUGAAACAGGUGAAACAGAGAUUUACAAUGCAUCUGAUAAUUCUGAUGCAGCUCCUGAUCCUGGCAUCAGUAACUUCAGCAGUCACGACACCAGGAGCCACCCCUUCAGGAGGCACCACAGCUGGAGGGACGACAGCAGGAGGCACCACAGCUGGAGGGACGACAGCAGGAGGCACCACAGCUGGAGGGCCUGCUGCAGCCACGAGCGGCGCAGCUAUGACCACAGCAAACAUGGGAACUGCUGCCUCAACCAACGCCAACACAGUAGGGAUGACAGCAGCCGUAACAUCGAACUCAACAAACACAAACUCCACCACCAACGCUGCUGCUUCUACACAUCCAGGGAUCACAUACACAAGUGGUCUGAUUGUGUGCCACUUCACUAUUGUUCUUUUCAAGUCUCUCUUCACUGUGUGACGUGGUUGUAUUGCCUUUAUCUAUCCCUUCAGAAUAUGUAAUUUAUAUAUGAAACUGUAAAACCGUAUAAUCAUGUGACGCAUUUGUGUUGAUGGAUUUAGAAAAUCUAAAUGAUCCAGUGUGUUAAGAUGUUAUGAUUAAAGUUCUGUAUACACCGAUUGUAUCUUCUCCUACCCAGAGAAAGCUCCUUAAAUUUGUGUUAAAAAGACCUCUUUCAUA